GGUUGCGUAGUGUAGCGGUUAUCACUCCAGAUUCUGAUGAUGAUCUUGGACUUCUGGCAACCCCGGUUCGAUUCCGGGCGCGACCU